UCAUAUUAAAAAAUUGGGUGGUACGC
rnacentral:sRNA from 1 species